rnacentral:sRNA from 1 species
UUUUUGGAUGUCAAGGUGCAGUAUUA